ACCCCUAAAGGGUAAACAGCAACCCAUUGGUUUUAGGAACCAAAAACUCUUGGUGCAAACCCAAGUAGGAGUC
rnacentral:tRNA from 1 species